AGCUUAGCAGAAAGGUGUGGGCAGUGGAGGCGGAAGCAGUCACCGGAGCCCCUUGAAGGUGGAGUGAUCAGAACCAAUUAAGCUGACAGUGGAAGAGCAAAACUCAGGCAACUGAUACAAGAAAAUUCACCGUGAAAAGAAAACUGUAAAACUGACACUGGGAAAGUGAUUCUCUGAACUUAGAGGUCAACUUGAACCAGGAAAGAUGGAACCCGUGGAAAGAUUUGGCUCACCGCGCUGAACAGGUGCGGCCAUCAAAGUGAGUGGGUGACGCUUGUCCGAGUCCUGCGGAGUGAGCCAGUGCUGUGUGACUCACCUUCGUGAUAUCAGUAAAGCUCCAAGCCUCUUGCCUGGGAAUUGACAAAGGAAACUCUAUUCUGAAUAUGUCACUAUUUGAAUCUUUAAAUGUAAUCCACUUACCAGUCAACUGACAAACGUUCUCCAUAUUCUUCAGGUUGUUUCUAAUCUUUCUCCUAAUCACUUUUGCAGCCUGGCUGGAUUUUAUUGGGUUUAUGUGUGUUAGCUUUGAGAAGGAAUGGAAACACCUGCUUCUCUGAGAUGAUCAUUAUGUACCACCCCCUGCCUCGUCCCCCACCACAGCUCGGGUAGAGCAGAAAGGUGAUCUCAUAGGGUUUUUCCACACAAUUAUUCUGAUUUUUAAAACACAAGUAUGUGAAAGCCCCAAUCAUUGCCUCUUAAAAUCCCCUUUGUGUUCAAAGAGGAAGCUUGGGGAAUAGUUUCAGCAAAGUAUCGGGAGUAUCAGAUAGCACUGAUUCACCCAGUUCUGGAAACAAACCUCAGUUUCUUCAAUCAUUGGUUCAAGAUGAGAAAACUCCAAAAAUGUGAAAACUUCCCUUUGUCGUGUACUAAUUUGGCCACAAACUAGAGAUCAGCCUGUCCUCUGACAAAUGUGACACGUGAAUUUGACAAGUGUUCCGUCUUCUUCCACCCCAGUUCAUGCUGCGCCCUUCUGGCUACAUUGCUCCCUGGGUUCUCUAUUCAAGUCUUCCUCAUCUUUGGAGGUCCCACUGUCUCCUGGUAACCUUCUCCAACUUACUGGCUUAGAGGGAGCUUUUCCUCCCCUGAACUCUGGCACAUAUAUCAGAAUCUCUCAAUUGACAUUUAGUCAAUUUCCAGGGUAGAGAUUUUGCUGAAUUCUUACUCCCACACCUGUAGGGGUGCUGGUGCUUUGCCUACAGUGCUGAUGUGUAGUGUUGGCUGGGCAUCAGGAUUACCUGUGCAGCUUUUAGGGAUUACACAUGUCCCAGUCUCACACCACACCUUCUGAAUCAGGCUCACUGCUUGGGUGAUUCUGAUUUACCCCUGGAGUGAGAGCUACCACUUUGCCAUUAUUGUAGGAAUUACAUGAGCUAAUAUGUUGAAGUGAAGUGAAGUGUUAGUCACUCAAAGGUGUCCAGCUCUUUUCAACCCCAUGGACUAGGGCUCUCCAGGCUCCUCUGUCCAUGGGAUUCUCCAGAGAAGGAUACUGAAGUGGGUUGCCCUUUCCUUCUCUAGGAGAUCUUCCCAACCCAGGGGUUGAACCCAGGUCUCCUGCAUUGCAGGCAGACUCUUUACUGUGUGAGCCACCAGCGAAGCUCUCAGUAGAGGUAUAUUGACAGGCACUUUUUUUUUUUUUUUAAUUAAGCUCUAGACUUUCAUUAUCGGAGAAGGCAAUGGCACCCCACUCCAGUACUCUUGCCUGGAAAAUCCCAUGGACGGAGGAGCCUGGUGGGCUGCAGUCCAUGGGGUCGCUAAGAGUCGGACACGACUGAGUGACUUCACUUUCACUUUUCACUUUCCUGCAUUGGAGAAGGCAGUGGCAACCCACUCCAGUGUUCUUGCCUGGAGGAUCCCAGGGACGGGGGAGCCUGGUGGGCUGCUGUCUCUGGGGUCGCACAGAGUUGGACACAACUGAAGCGACUUAGCAGCAGCAGCAGCAGACUUUCAUUAUAAAUUACAACUUGAAUGCUAUGGCUGCUUCCUAGCUCCUCCUUCAGCCGCUAGCUCCUAGUCCCUUCCUUUUCAGCAGAACCUCUAUAUGUUUCGAGGGCUUCCCCUCCUCAACACAGUCCGCUUGCUUCAGGGGAAGUCCUCCCCACCCUCAGUGUGAGGGGAGGGGCUGAACGUCUAUGAGGUUAAGUCCAUGGCUCAGGAACAGGUGUGUGACCCAGUUACGGCCACUGAGAAGCAAGAAGAGUGCUAAAGGCUCUGGGAAGGGUCUUCCUCUUUACUCUUUCUCCUGCUAUUAUCUUUGUUACUGGCAGCCACCUGUGGUCUUUCUCUCUCUCCCUCCUCUUUCCCCCUUUUCCAGAAGGGGGAAAGAAGGUUUAGGAUGAAUCUGAAAAAUCAUGCAUCGUUAAUGUUGAGCAAAACAAACCUGAGUUGAUCUCAAUUUGGACUUCCAUGUAUGUGCACCAAUAAAUGCCUAAUUGUUUAAAACAGUUCUGUUAUUGUGGCUGAAUUAUCCUUCUAGACAUACUUGUGUUUAUUCCUUUGAUCCCAAGUAUCACCUGGCAUAAUGC
ensembl:lncRNA